rnacentral:rRNA from 1 species
UACGUAGGGGGCAAGCGUUAUCCGAAUUUACUGGGUGUAAAGGGAGCGUAGGCGGCGGAGCAAGUCAGAAGUGAAAGCCCGGGGCUCAACCCCGGGACGGCUUUUGAAACUGCCCUGCUUGAUUUCAGGAGAGGUAAGCGGAAUUCCUAGUGUAGCGGUGAAAUGCGUAGAUAUUAGGAGGAACACCAGUGGCGAAGGCGGCUUACUGGACUGACAAUGACGCUGAGGCUCGAAAGCGUGGGGAGCAAACAGG